rnacentral:rRNA from 1 species
CAAAAGCGUAUAUUAAAGUUGUUGCAGUUAAAAAGCUCGUAGUUGAACCUUGGGCUUGGUUGGCCGGUCCAUCUUUUUGAUGCGUACUGGACCCAACCGAGCCUUUCCUUCUGGCUAGCCUUUUGGCGAACCAGGACUUUUACUUUGAAAAAAUUAGAGUGUUCAAAGCAGGCCUUUGCUCGAAUAUAUUAGCAUGGAAUAAUAGAAUAGGACGUUAUGGUUCUAUUUUGUUGGUUUCUAGGACCAUCGUAAUGAUUAAUAGGGACGGCCGGGGGUAUCAGUAUUCAGUUGUCAGAGGUGAAAUUCUUGGAUUUACUGAAGACUAACUACUGCGAAAGCAUUUACCAAGGACGUUUUCAUUAA